rnacentral:rRNA from 1 species
UACGUAGGGGGCGAGCGUUAUCCGGAUUUACUGGGCGUAAAGCGCGUUAAGGCGGUUGGCAAAGUUGGUGGUGAAAUUUCAGGGCUCAACCCUGAAACUGCCUCCAAUACUGGUCGACUUGAGUGCGAGAGAGGAAGGUGGAAUUCCCGGUGUAGUAGUGAAAUGCGUAGAUAUCGGAAGGAACACCAAUGGCGAAGGCAGCUUGCUGGGCCACACCUGACGUUAAGGUACGAAAGCGUGGGGAGCGAACGGG